GACGAACGCUGGCGGCGUGCUUAACACAUGCAAGUCGAACGGAAAGGCCCUGCUUUUGUGGGGUGCUCGAGUGGCGAACGGGUGAGUAACACGUGAGUCACCUGCCCUUGACUUUGGGAUAACUUCAGGAAACUGGGGCUAAUACCGGAUAGGAGCUCCUGCUGCAUGGGGGGGGUUGGAAAGUUUCGGCGGUUGGGGAUGGACUCGCGGCUUAUCAGCUUGUUGGUGGGGUAGUGGCUUACCAAGGCUUUGACGGGUAGCCGGCCUGAGAGGGUGACCGGCCACCUUGGGACUGAGAUACGGCCCAGACUCCUACGGGGGGCAGCAGUGGGGAAUAUUGCACAAUGGGCGGAAGCCUGAUGCAGCAACGCCGCGUGCGGGAUGACGGCCUUCGGGUUGUAAACCGCUUUCGCCUGUGACGAAGCGUGAGUGACGGUAAUGGGUAAAGAAGCACCGGCUAACUACGUG
rnacentral:rRNA from 1 species